GGCCAGGUAGCUCAGAUGGUAGAGCAGGGGAUUGAAAAUCCCCGUGUCGGCGGUUCAAGUCCGUCUCUGGCCACCA
rnacentral:tRNA from 1 species